rnacentral:rRNA from 1 species
CCUGGAUUUACUGGGCGUAAAGCGCGUGUAGGUGGUUUUGUAAGUAGGGCGUGAAAGCUCUGGCUCAACUGGGAGAGGCCGUUCUAAACUGCAGAACUAGAGGAUGGUAGAGGGAGGUGGAAUUCCAGGUGUAGCGGUGGAAUGCGCAGAUAUCUGGAGGAACACCAGUGGCGAAAGCGGCCUCCUGGACCAUUCAUGACACUCAGACGCGAAAGCUAGGGUAGCAAACGGGAUUAGAGACCCCGGUAGUCCUAGCCCUAAACGAUGUAGACUAGACGUCGGUGGUGUAAUAGCUGUCGGUGUCCAAGCUAACGCGAUAAGUCUACCGCCUGGGGACUACGGCCGCAAGGUUAAAACUCAAAGGAAUUGACGGGUCCCCGCACAAGCAGCGGAGCGUGUGGUUUAAUUCGUUGCUACACGAAGAACCUUACCUGGGUUUGACAUAGCAGUGGUAGGGAAGAGAAAUCGGACCGACCCUUCGGGGAGCUGUUACAGGUGUUGCAUGGCUGUCGUCAGCUCGUGUCGUGAGAUGUUCGGUUAAGUCCGCUAACGAGCGCAACCCGCGUUGUGUGUUAUAUGUGUCACACAAUACCGCCGGUAUUAAGCCGGAGGAAGGUGCGGAUGACGUCAAGUCAGCAUGACCUUUAUAUCCAGGGCUACACACACGCUACAAUGGACAGUACAACAGGUUGCCAAGCCGCGAGGCGGAGCCAAUCCUCUAAAGCUGUCCUCAGUUCAGAUUGCAGGCUGCAACUCGCCUGCAUGAAGUUGGAGUUGCUAGUAACCGCAGGUCAGC